GGAGGAGGUAUGCUUCAAACAAGCAAACUAGGCGGCCCUAUCAGGUUUCCUCGCAUUCUCGGCUACAUAACCAGCCAAGGCCUUUUUUAGGCCAGAAGCAUCCCCAGGGGAGAGGGAUGCAUUUACCAAAACUCCACCAAUAAGCCACCCCAGGGAUCAUCUCAAGAGUCUUGAAGAAACUCCAAGAAGACGAGGCACCAAUACUGAUGAUAUUCCCACUGUGGCCGACCCAGUUUUGGUUGCCCAAAGCUCUCCAGCUAAUGGCAGCAGUUCCCGUUCUUCUCCCCAAAAAUUCCCUAGUUCUUCCACAACAUCCUACUCAACGCCAUCCACAGGCUCAGAGGUCGGCCUCAUCCAGUAAGGCAGCCCUGAAACUGCCGCUGUCCACUAUUAUAUCAACCAUUGGAUGGGCCAAGGAGUCAACUUUCACUAAGCAUUAUCAAAAACCUAUCAACAAAGGUGGUCAGUUUGCCAGGGCAGUUUUGUCAUAAGUUAUGUAUGACCCUGCCUUGUGAAAAUGUUUAUUUUUGUAUGCAAUUUUACGUUUGCUACUGUUGUUAACAUUGAGUACACAUUAGGAUAAUACUUGUUAUUAUACCGUUAUAAUAGGUAUAAUUUUUAUUUGGUUGUUUUCAACUUUUGUACACGCCAGGGAGGCGCAUCACACAUUGUUAAUAAAUUGGGUU